UACAGAGGUCCCAAGCGUUGUUCGGAUUCAUUGGGCGUAAAGGGUGCGUAGGUGGCGCCGUAAGUGGGGUGUGAAAUCUCGGGGCUUAACUCCGAAACUGCAUUCCAUACUGCGGUGCUUGAGGACUGGAGAGGAGACUGGAAUUCAUGGUGUAGCAGUGAAAUGCGUAGAGAUCAUGAGGAAGACCAGUGGCGAAGGCGGGUCUCUGGACAGUUCCUGACACUGAGGCACGAAGGCCAGGGGAGCAAACGGG
rnacentral:rRNA from 2 species